CAGUCGCCGCGGGAAUACGUAGGGUGCAAGCGUUAAUCGGAAUUACUGGGCGUAAAGCGUGCGCAGGCGGUUUUGUAAGACAGAGGUGAAAUCCCCGGGCUCAACCUGGGAACUGCCUUUGUGACUGCAAGGCUAGAGUAAGGCAGAGGGGGAUGGAAUUCCGCGUGUAGCAGUGAAAUGCGUAGAUAUGCGGAGGAACACCGAUGGCGAAGGCAAUCCCCUGGGCCUGUACUGACGCUCAUGCACGAAAGCGUGGGGAGCAAACAGGAUUAGAUACCCGCGUAGUCCCUGUCUCUUAUAC
rnacentral:rRNA from 1 species